rnacentral:rRNA from 1 species
GGACCCGCACAAGCGGUGGAGUAUGUGGUUUAAUUCGAUGCAACACGAAGAACCUUACCAGGGUUUGAAAUCAUUUCAAAACUCCUUGAAAGAGGAGCCUCCUUCGGGAUGAAAUGACAGGUGGUGCAUGGCUGUCGUCAGCUCGUGUUGUGAAAUGUCGAGUUAAGUCUCGUAACGAGCGCAACCCAUGUCUCUUGUUGCUCACUGAGUGCUUAAGAGAGACUGCCGACCAACAUCGGAGGAAGGUGUGGAUGAUGUCAAGUCAGCAUGCCCCUUACAUCCUGGGCUACACACGUACUACAAUGCCCGGUACAAUAGGAAGCAAGACCGCGAGGUGGAGCAAA